rnacentral:rRNA from 1 species
UACGAAGGGGGCUAGCGUUGUUCGGAAUUACUGGGCGUAAAGCGCACGUAGGCGGAUUUGUUAGUCAGGAGUGAAAUCCCGGGGCUCAACCUAGGAACUGCCUUUGAUACUGCAAGGCUCGAGUCUGGAAGAGGUGAGUGGAAUUCCUAGUGUAGAGGUGAAAUUCGUAGAUAUUAGGAAGAACACCAGUGGCGAAGGCGGCUCGCUGGGCCGGUACUGACGCUGAGGUGCGAAAGCGUGGGGAGCAAACAGG